rnacentral:pre_miRNA from 1 species
AUAUCCAGUCAGAAUGGCCACAAGGUUGAGUUUGAGUGGCUACAAGGCCACUCAAGCUCAACCUUGUGGCCAUUCUGACUGAGGUGU